UGCAGGUUUAGGUGCAGGUCUUUACUGGAAAGAAGAUCAGAAAAUAAGAUGACCUUUGAUGCAGGUUUAUGUUCAGUUGCUCUGCAUCGAGGAUCACAGCCAAACCUAUCCUAGAGAAAGGCCUGCUGACGCAGUUCUGCCGGAAGUAUAUACGAAAGCGUGAUAAUGAAGGCGCCAAUUAGGAACUGGUUGAUGGUUGAUGGUUGUUUGGUGUUCAGUUGACUGAGAGGACAAAGUUCAAGGUUGGUUCAACUCUCUUGGACGGUGAUUAUUCGCAGAUUUUACAUUCCUACAUAAUCACAACUGUUUAAAUGGUUCAACGAGAAAACAGUAAUAAGAAAUAACUUAUAGAGAAAUUAAAUUCAAAAUGCACGUAUCGUGGAGACGUGCGUUGCACGUGCAAGCUCACUAGUAUAGAUGAAGUUAGCAUUGCUGUGUAAUGUUUAAUCAUGUAAACAUUAAAUUCUUGUGUAAUGUUUA